rnacentral:lncRNA from 1 species
AUGCGGACCUGUUGGGGCCGUGGAGGAGGUCUGUCUCUCCGUUCAGGGAUCCUCCUUCUGUUAGUGCCGCCGCUUCUUCUCGCGCUGCAGCAGCUCGUGCUGGUCGGGUCCCGGUUACCGGGGCCUGAGGCUCGGGGUCCGGGCGGAGAUCCAGCUUUUACCGUCAUCAGCAUUGAACCGGUGGAGAAGUCCCGCCUGUGGGGGAACAGGGCCCUGCGCUUUGGCUUACAGGCGGAGGAGGAUGAGGAGGAGAGGAGGAAGGAUGGAGAGAGGAAGCAGAGAGGAGGUCUUUACCAGGAUGAGACUGAGCUGAGACAGAAGGAACCCAGGGUCUUGAAGGUGCAGCCGUGGGCAACCGACAAGCCAUCCUUUACAGCAGAACUCACUCGUCUCAUCACAUAUAUCACAACAGCACAGCUGAAUUGCUCCAGAGUGUUUACACCAGGGCAGGCUCAGGCUGAACAGCACCCUGCUGCUGCUGCUGCAGAGCACUGGCUGCUGUGUGCUGAGGACCCUAUGCCUCCAGCUGAGGAAGGGCCCUGUGUUGCAUAUUCCUUCAGGUGCAUGUGCCCACGCUGUCAUCAUAGUCACGGUUUCACUAACA